rnacentral:lncRNA from 1 species
CACACACCAUCUACUGCCCUAAAUCAGAGACCACAGCUCCAUACUCUCCCCUCAUCAUAGUUCACGAAAUCCCCACUCCAAGGAGAAGCCGUAGCCACCAUCUUCCAUCAUCCUGUCGUGCUCUUGCUUUGAAGACGCCUCAAGCUUUCUUGGAGAAUAUUCAAACUUAAUGUGGUAAUUUUGUGCGCUUAAUUCAGGCGUAUCAACUACAUGGAGAAAGAGGAUCAAGAGGACGAUCUCGCUCUUAGGGUGGACAACAUCAAGGGCCAAGAAACUAGUGAUUUUGAUUAAGUCCUUUUAUUUUCCAAGAGAUGUAGGCAAUUGCCAUAUUAUUUUUGUAGUAGAUGUCAAUGGUUUAAUCUUUCUUCAAAGUAGGCAUCCUCAAUGCAAAUGUGAUGUCUAGGAAGGUUUUGAGAUUAGUGGUACUUAAGUGAGCCUCGCUCCAUCGACUUCUUUCUACUCACCUAGUCACAUUUGCGUUGGAAUUACCGAAAGAAGUUAGACGACUGCCAUUGUUUUGCAUUAGCUAG